AUCCCUUUUGAAAAUUUCCAGAUUGUCAGGAGUGGAUCUUUCAACCAUCUCGAGAAGGGAAUCCAAGUUGACUUCAGGAAACUUGUAAGAAACAUGUCCACCUCUACCAGUAUCCAUCCUUAGAAAUGACUUAAAUAACGAGAAUCAAGAAUUAAAAACACUUGGAAAUACAAAGACAUGUGUGUUAGGAGAAUGAACAUAACAACGUUCAUGAAUGCAAAUGCAGUUUCCAUAUUAAUAGAUAGUUGUUGU
rnacentral:lncRNA from 1 species